rnacentral:lncRNA from 1 species
UGCUGAGAGUGCCCUCUCGAAUGUGAAGAAAAGUUGAGCAUUUUUUUUUAUUUGCAAGUCUGCCUGGCUGUGGAGGAUCAAGGUCGACAUAUAUAGGAAUUAUCCCAACAGUGAGUGGUAAUGUUGUUCCUUUACCCUUCUCGGUCAUAGCAAUGUAGUGGGAGCUGCAAGAUUCACGUGUUUUAACUUUGUCAGAGCACUUUGAAAAAGUGGUCUGUGGUAUUUGGAAAGCUGAUGUUGCGUGUGAAGAUUAUAGACAAGC